rnacentral:rRNA from 1 species
AGAGCGAACGCUGGCGGCAUGCUUAACACAUGCAAGUCGCACGGGCAGGCUUCGGCUUGUCAGUGGCGGACGGGUGAGUAACGCGUAGGUAUCUAUCCAUGGGUGGGGGAUAACGCUGGGAAACUGGUGCUAAUACCGCAUGACACCUGAGGGUCAAAGGCGCAAGUCGCCUGUGGAGGAGCCUUCGUCCGAUUAGCUAGUUGGUGGGGUAAAGGCCUACCAAGGCGACGAUCGGUAGCUGGUCUGAGAGGAUGAUCAGCCACAUUGGGACUGAGACACGGCCCAAACUCCUACGGGAGGCAGCAGUGGGGAAUAUUGGACAAUGGGCGCAAGCCUGAUCCAGCAAUGCCGCGUGGAUGAAGAGGUUUUCGGAUUGUAAAGUCCUUUCGGCGGGACGAUGAUGACGGUACCCGCAGAAGAAGCCCCGGCUAACUUCGUGCCAGCAGCCGC